GGGAAGGGAACCGCUUAUAAAAAAAAAAAAAAAAAGCCUUUGGGAGUUUGUAGCCCCGGCUUUUGUGAAUUGUCCCUCCCACUACCCCAUCCCCGGGAGCCCCCUUCAGAGUGAGUUAAACACCCCUCCCCCUCUGUGUAAUGAACGCCCUUUGCCACCCUGUGAGCGGAGGAGGCUGAUCUUGCUUCUGGCAACCCGCCUGCUCAGCGCUAGAAUUGGGCCUGUCCUUCACUGGCGGGUGCACAAAGGCCCGUGCCAGGCAGGAACCUCAGCCCCUGCUUUUCCAGUUCAUGAAAACUGAAAACUCCCGGAUGCUGCGGACUCUCCUUGUCAGGUCUGCACAAGUGGUGCCUUGAUAAUGAACCUUUCUCAUGGGGCUAAGCCUCACAGAGGCAAGAGCUGACAGUGCAAAGGGCAGGGCUAUUUGUGAGCCCUCCUGUUGAAGCUGCCCACUUCCGGAAGAGCCAAGUUCAUCUCCACACAGUGUUUUCUCCAUCCUUGGACACCACUAGCUGGGGAUGUCCCACAGAUCUACCAUAGAGUUCUCAGACCAAGCAAAUAAAAAUCUAGGGUUCUCAGUUCAAUUUGCAUAGCUUAUGCAUGUAAAUACAUGCAAAUGAACACAUGUUUUUAAGGGUUUAUUUCUUUUCAUGUGUGUGGGUGUUUUGCCUGCAUUUGUGUAUGUAUACCACCUUUGUGCCUGGUGCCUGCAGAAGUCAGAAGAGGGUAUCAGAACUGAAGUUACAGACAGUUGCAAGCUGCCAUGUGGGUGCUGGGAUCCAAACCUGGUCCUCUAGAAGAGCAGUCAGUGCUUGUAACUGCUGAGCAUCCGUGUGUGUGUGUGUGUGUGUGUGUGUGUGUGUGUGUGUGUGUGUGUCUGUGUGUCUGUGUGUCUGUGUGUCUGUGUGUCUGUGUGUAAUGUGGUGUAUAUAUAUAAGCAUUUAUAGAUGUGUGUGUAUAUAUGGGGGUUCAUGUGUCUUGUAACUCAGGCUGGCUCCAACUGGUUAGCAGAGGAUGAGGGUGGCCCUGAGAUUUUGUUCCUUCUCUUUCUACCCCCGAAUGCUGAGAUCACAGUCACGUCCAUCAUGCUUGGUUUCAGGCAGCGCUGGAAACCAAACCCAGGGCUUCUUACAUGCUGGGCAAGCGCUCUACCAACUGAGCUACAUGCCAGCACUAUGAUGCCUACUAUUUAGCAUAUAUAUGUUCCAUGAGAUAUGAGACUCCUUCUAAAGCAAAGUGUUGCGUUAUGUUAGGCGACCAUGGGAUUUAACUGAGUCCCCAGCACCCUCGAUUUGGUCUGGAAACUGUUUCAGUCCUGAAUAGUCACUGUGUCAGCCCCUCCCCACAGGGACCUGAAAACCAACCAGUCCUGUAAGGCGGUUAUGACAAUGACUUUGAAUGUGUAGUCAACUGCCAUGGAAAGGUUGCUGGGUGACGUGGGGCCCUCACCUGUGCUUGGGCUGGGAAUGAGGUGGGAAUUCUCUGAGCUUGUGACACAUUGGAAGAACUGACACUUGGUAUUUGUCAGCAAGCGUCUAGGACAUUGAAGAAGACAGAUGCACUUGCUGUGCCAUUACUCAAAACACUUUCCCUUCCCAUGCCUUUUUUCCUUCUGGUCAUCUUGAAGGCUGAACCAUGCAGGGAUAGGAUAGAGUAUCUCAGGAGGCAGCCUUGAGCAUUUUGGAAUACCCCUACCCUAUGCCAACACUCAGAUCACUUUUUUUCUCAGGG
rnacentral:lncRNA from 1 species